GUGGGGAAUCUUGCGCAAUGGGCGAAAGCCUGAUCCAGCCAUGCCGCGUGAACGAUGAAGGCCUUCGGGUUGUAAAGUUCUUUAGCCGAUGAUUAUAAUGACUGUAGUCGGAAAAUAAGCCCCGGCUAACUUCGUGCCAGCAGCCGCGGUAAUACGAAGGGGGCGAGCGUUAUUCGGAAUCACUGGGCGUAAAGCGUGCGUAGGCGGUUUUGUAAGUUAGGAGUGAAAGCCCAGGGCUCAACCUUGGAAUUGCUCUUAAAACUGCAAGGCUCGAAUAUCGGAGAGGAUAGCGGAAUUUCCAGUGUAGCAGUGAAAUGCGUAGAUAUUGGAAGGAACACCAGUGGCGUAAGCGGCUAUCUGGACGAGUAUUGACGCUGAGGCACGAAAGCGUGGGGAUCAAACAGGAUUAGAUACCCGAGUAGUCC
rnacentral:rRNA from 1 species